AUUGAACGCUGGCGGCAGGCAUAACACAUGCCAGUCGAGCGGUUGAAGGGAGCUUGCUCCUGGAUUCAGCGGCUGACGGGUGAGUAAUGCCUCGGAAUCGGCCUGCUAGUGUGGCAUAACUUCCGCAAACGGGCGCUAAUACCGCAUACGUCCUGAUGGCGAAUAUGAGGGUACUUCCAACCUCACGCUAUCAGAUGAUCCUAGGUCGGUAUAGCUAGUUGGGGGGGUAUUGGCUAAUCGAGGCGACGAUACAUAACUGGUCUUAGAGGAUGAUCAGACAAACUGGAACGGGGACACGGUCCAGAAUACUACGGGAGGCAGAAGUGGGGAAUAUUGAACAAUGGGAGAAAGCCUGAACCAGCCAUGCCGCGUGUGUGAAGAAGGUAUUCGGAUUGUAAAACACAGUAAGUUGGGAGGAAGGGAAGUAAGUUAAUACCGGAAUGAUUUGACGUUACCAAACGAAUAAGCACCGGCUAACUACGUG
rnacentral:rRNA from 1 species